rnacentral:rRNA from 1 species
AGAUUGAACGCUGGCGGCAUGCUUUACACAUGCAAGUCGAACGGUAACGCGGGGGCAACCCUGGCGACGAGUGGCGAACGGGUGAGUAAUACAUCGGAACAUGUCCUGGAGUGGGGGAUAGCUCGGCGAAAGCCGGAUUAAUACCGCAUACGCUCUGAGGAGGAAAGCGGGGGACUCGUAAGGGCCUCGCGCUGCGGGAGUGGCCGAUGUCGGAUUAGCUAGUUGGUGAGGUAAAGGCUCACCAAGGCGACGAUCCGUAGCUGGUCUGAGAGGAUGAUCAGCCACACUGGGACUGAGACACGGCCCAGACUCCUACGGGAGGCAGCAGUGGGAAUUUGGACAAUGGGGGCAACCCUGAUCCAGCCAUGCCGCGUGAGUGAAGAGGCCUUCGGUUGUAAGCUCGUUCGGACGGACGAAAGUGGUACGGUGAAUACCUGUGACUGAUGACGGUACGUAAUAAGAAGCACCGGCUAACGUACGUGCCAGCAGCCGCGUAAC